rnacentral:lncRNA from 1 species
UUUGCUUCACACACAGACGUGGGCAGAUGGCAUCGGGGACACAGGGAAACCUGACCUUAGAGGAAAUGGAAAAGUUGGAGAGACACUGAGCACUGAUACGAAAUAAUUCUCUUGCUGAAAUACACGAAAGGAGUCCCAGCAGCCAUAUUAGUAUUUCCACGUCCUGUGUCAGCCCCAAGUAGAGAGAACUUGGAAUGGGAGGGGAAAUGGCAGCCAUCAGGAAAUGAAAUGCUGGCCCAGAGAAUUCUAAGCAAGUCAAUCACCAGUCCAAAAUGCUUCAUCUGGAGAAUUUCAAAGAGACAACCAACCACCUGUUGUCAAUUUCC